rnacentral:lncRNA from 1 species
ACCAAAGCAGUGAAAUAUACCCUAAUUUACUGCAGUCUGUUCCCAGGCUAGGGGUUGAAUCAGAGCUGUAGCUGCCAGCCUACGCCAGAGCCACAGCAACGCGGGAUCUGAGCCGCAUCUGCAACCUACACCACAGCUCGCAGCAACGCCGGAUUGUUAACCCACUGAGCAAGGCCAGGGACCGAACCCGCAACCUCAUGGUUCCUAGUCGGAUUCGUUAACCACUGCGCCACGACUGGAACUCCUGCUGUCAUUUCUUGCUGGGUAUGUGCACCUGUCUCUUCCUGGUCCAGCCUCCUCAUAGAAGCCAGAGCCCUCCUGACACACAGGUUAGGUGAUGUGCAGUAUAAAUAUUUCACAAUAUUUAUUCUCAUGGAAUAAAACUCCUUCUUUAGCAAGGUGCCUGAGUUUUUUGUUUCUGGCCCCUGCUUACCUCUCCAUCCUCUUCUCUCCAGUGCGGUUUUUUGAUUUUUGACAUCCUGAACUUUCUGCCUGGAGUGUCCUUGUGUCACUUCUUUGCCUAAUUCCUUUUCAUCUUUUUUAGCAUAAGGAUAAGUCUUUAUGUAACUGUGUAAUUCUGGCAUGUAUAAGUUUAUGGAAUGUUUGGACAAACGUGGGAAUGAAUAAAUGAAUAAAUAAGUAUAAAGAAAAUGGAUUUCUAAAAAUUGUGGUAAAAUACAUGUAACACAAAAUUUACCAUCUUAACUAUUUUUUAGUGUAGAGUUCAGUGACAUUAAGUACAUUCACAUUUUUCUAUAACCAUCACCACCAUCCAUCUCCAGAAUGUUUUUUUCUUGUGGAAACUGAAACUUAGUACCCAUUAAAUGCUAACUCUUCAUUUCCCCCUCCCCCUAAACCCUGGCAGCUACCAUUCUACUUUGUUUCUACAAGUUUGACUACUCCAGAUUCUUCAUAUGAGUGGAAUUAUACAGUAUUUGCCCUUUUGUGACAGGCUUGUUUCACUUAGCAUAAUGUCCUCAAAUUUCACCCAUUCACAUUGUUGAGUAUGUCAGAAUUUCCUUGCUAUUUAAGGUCGAAUGAUAUUCCGUUGCACGUAUAGACCAUUAUUUUGUUUAUGCUUUCAUGUAUUGUUUGUACAAAGAUGUAAUUUGUAGCAUUGUUUGAAAUAGUGAAAGGUUGUAAGCCAUCUAAAAGUCAUGUGAGCAUUUCUGCUGGGCACAGUGGGUUAAGAAACCAUCAGUAGCAGCUUGGAUCACUGCAGAGGCACAAGUUCAAUGCCCGGCCUGGUGCAGUGAGUUAAAGGAUCUGGCGUUGCUGCAGCUGUGGUGGAGGUCACAGCUGUGGCUUGGAUUCAAUCUCUGGCCCAGGAACUUCCAUAGACUGCAGGUGUGGCCAUAAAAGUAAGUAAAUAAAAAUAAAUAAAUAUCCAUGUGUAGGGGAUUAGUGAUGUAAAAUAACCUUACAGUAGAAAACUGUGUAGCAGUGAUAAAGAAUGGGGCUUCCCAUCGUGGCUCAGUGGAAAGAAAUCUGACUCAUAUCCAUGAGGAUGCAGGUUCGAUUCCUGGCCUUGCCUUGCUUAGUGUGUUAAAGGAUCCAUUGUUGUGGUGAGCUGUGGUGUAGGUCGCAGACACGGCUUGGAUCUGGCGUUGCUGUGGCAUAGGCUGGCACCUGCACCUCCGUAGCCUGGGAACUUCCAUAUGCCUCGGGUGUGGCCCUAAAAAGGCCAAAAAAAAA